rnacentral:rRNA from 1 species
AAUAGAUACCCCGGUAGUCCAUGCCGUAAACGUUGGGAACUAGAUGUGGGGACCAUUCCACGGUCUCCGUGUCGCAGCUAACGCAUUAAGUUCCCCGCCUGGGGAGUACGGCCGCAAGGCUAAAACUCAAAGGAAUUGACGGGGGCCCGCACAAGCGGCGGAGCAUGCGGAUUAAUUCGAUGCAACGCGAAGAACCUUACCAAGGCUUGACAUAUACGAGAACGCUGCAGAAAUGUAGAACUCUUUGGACACUCGUAUACAGGUGGUGCAUGGUUGUCGUCAGCUCGUGUCGUGAGAUGUUGGGUUAAGUCCCGCAACGAGCGCAACCCUCGUCGUAUGUUGCCAGCACGUAAUGGUGGGAACUCAUAUGAGACUGCCGGGGUCAACUCGGAGGAAGGUGGGGAUGAGGUCAAAUCAUCAUGCCCCUUAUGUCUUGGGCUUCACGCAUGCUACAAUGGCCGGUACAAAGGCUGCAAUACCGCAAGGUGAGCGAAUCCCAAAAGCCGGUNUCAGUUCGGAUUG